UACGUAGGCAGCAAGCGUUGUUCGGAGUUACUGGGCGUAAAGGGUGCGUAGGCGGCUUUUUAAGUUUGGUGUGAAAUCUCCCGGCUCAACUGGGAGGGUGCGCCGAAUACUGAGAGGCUAGAGUGUGGGGAGAGGAAAGUGGAAUUCCUGGUGUAGCGGUGAAAUGCGUAGAUAUCAGGAGGAACACCGGUGGUGUAAACGCUUUCUGGACCAUAACUGACGCUGAUGCACAAAAGCGUGGGUAGCAAACAGG
rnacentral:rRNA from 1 species